rnacentral:sRNA from 1 species
AGAAAGAGAGAGAGUGAGAGACGCAGGUGUGCGGGAAAAAGUGUGUGUGUGUGUGUGUAA